rnacentral:rRNA from 1 species
UAGGGAAUCUUCCACAAUGGACGAAAGUCUGAUGGAGCAACGCCGCGUGAGUGAAGAAGGGUUUCGGCUCGUAAAGCUCUGUUGUUAAAGAAGAACACGUAUGAGAGUAACUGUUCAUACGUUGACGGUAUUUAACCAGAAAGUCACGGCUAACUACGCGCCAG